GACGAACGCUGGCGGCGUGCUUAACACAUGCAAGUCGAACGGAAAGGCCCUGCUUUUGUGGGGUGCUCGAGUGGCGAACGGGUGAGUAACACGUGAGUAACCUGCCCUUGACUUUGGGAUAACUUCAGGAAACUGGGGCUAAUACCGGAUAGGAGCUCCUGCUGCAUGGUGGGGGUUGGAAAGUUUCGGCGGUUGGGGAUGGACUCGCGGCUUAUCAGCUUGUUGGUGGGGUAGUGGCUUACCAAGGCUUUGACGGGUAGCCGGCCUGAGAGGGUGACCGGCCACAUUGGGACUGAGAUACGGCCCAGACGGCUACGGGAGGCAGCAGUGGGGAAUAUUGCACAAUGGGCGGAAGCCUGAUGCAGCAACGCCGCGUGCGGGAUGACGGCCUUCGGGUUGUAAACCGCUUUCGCCUGUGACGAAGCGGGAGUGACGGUAAUGGGUAAAGAAGCACCGGCUAACUACGUG
rnacentral:rRNA from 1 species